GUAAUCUAUCUGCUGUACAGUAUAGGUGUCGUUGCAUACGAAAAUCGAUUCUAAGCGAUGAAGGCGUAUUCUGAGAAUAGUUCCAUGCUAUAAAUAGGACGAACUAGAUUCAAUUUUCCACCAGAAACCACCGUCAAAGUUGAAAAGCGAAGUAUUUUUACUGUUCCAAAAAAAUGAAAGCCUCUUAUUUCCAACUCUAGUAGAACCCAGUUGCGUAAUGAAUGGAGGAGUCAGGUCUGCUGUGUGGAGGUGCCCGCAGAAUUCAAUAGACAUUUUGGACCGUAUCAGUUUUGUCAUUUUUUAUUGGUAUAAAUACUUGUAGAAAACAAUUUAUCAUGUUUACUUUCUG